AGAGAAAAGAAAGAAGUAGAUGCAAGGGUGAUUUCUUUUCCGGGUUCUUGCCCAGAUGGAUUCGAAGGAUAAAGCCAUGGACAAAAGGUGGUAGAU